AUUGAACGCUGGCGGCAGGCCUAACACAUGCAAGUCGAGCGGAGCGGCGGACGGGUGAGUAAUGCCUAGGAAUCUGCCUGGUGGUGGGGGAUAACGUCCGGAAACGGGCGCUAAUACCGCAUACUAUCAGAUGAGCCUAGGUCGGAUUAGCUAGUUGGUGGGGUAAAGGCCUACCACGGCGACGAUCCGUAACUGGUCUGAGAGGAUGAUCAGUACUAUGGGAACUGAGACACGGCCCGGAUGCCUACGGGAGGCAGCAGUGGGUAAUUUUCGCCAAUGGGCGAAAGCCUGAUGCAGACAUGCCGCGUGGGUGAAGAGGGUUUUCGGAUUGUAAAGCAUUUUAAGCUGGGCGGCGUUACCAACAUAAUAAGCAACGGCUAACUUCGUGCCAGCAGCCGCGGUAAUUC
rnacentral:rRNA from 1 species